rnacentral:rRNA from 1 species
ACUCCUACGGGAGGCAGCAGUGGGGAAUUUUGCGCAAUGGGCUAACGCCUGACGCAGCAACGCCGCGUGGAGGAUGAAGGUCUUUGGAUUGUAAACUCCUGUCGGCAGGGAAAAAGCGACUGGGCCUAAUACGCCCGGGAGUUGAUUGUACCUGCGGAGGAAGCCCCGGCUAACUCUGUGCCAGCAGCCGCGGUAAUACAGAGGGGGCAAGCGUUAUUCGGAAUUAUUGGGCGUAAAGGGCGCGUAGGCGGCUUGGCAAGUGGAAGGUGAAAUCCCUCGGCUUAACCGAGGAACUGCCCUCCAAACUGCUUGGCUUGAGACCGGGAGAGGUGAGUGGAAUUCCCAGUGUAGCGGUGAAAUGCGUAGAUAUUGGGAGGAACACCAGUGGCGAAGGCGGCUCACUGGACCGGUACUGACGCUGAUGCGCGAAAGCGUGGGGAGCAAACGGGAUUAGAUACCCCGGUAGUCCACGCCGUAAACGAUGAGUGCUUGGUGUAGCGGGUAUCGACCCCUGCUGUGCCGAAGUCAACACAUUAAGCACUCCGCCUGGGGAGUACGGUCGCAAGGCUGAAACUUAAAGGAAUUGACGG